GAUGAACGCUGGCGGCGUGCUUAACACAUGCAAGUCGAGCGAACAGACGAGGAGCUUGCUCCUCUGACGUUAGCGGCGGAGGGGUGAGUAACACGUGGAUAACCUACCUAUAAGACUGGGAUAACUUCGGGAAACCGGAGCUAAUAGCGGAUAACAUGUUGAACCGCAUGGUUCAACAGUGAAAGACGGUCUUGCUGUCAGUUAUAGCUGGAUCCGCGCCGGAUUGGGUAGUUGGGAAGGUCAAGGCCUAUCACGGCAACGAUGCGUAGCCGACGGGCUGGGGUGAUCGCCCACACGGGAACUGGACCGCGGCCCAGGCGCCUACGGUAGGCACAAGUAGGGAAUCUUCCGCAAUGGGCGAAAGCCUGACGGAGCAGCGCCGCGUGAGUGAUGAAGGUCUUCGGAGCGUAAAACUCUGUUAUUAGGGAAAAACAAAUGUGUAAGUAACUAUGCCCGGCUUGACGGUACCUAAUCAAAAAGCCACGGCUAACUACGUG
rnacentral:rRNA from 1 species